AGAGUUUGAUCCUGGCUCAGGACGAACGCUGGCGGCGUGCCUAAUACAUGCAAGUCGAGCGGAUCUCUAAGGGAGCUUGCUCCCGAAGAGGUUAGCGGCGGACGGGUGAGUAACACGUAGGCAACCUGCCCAUAAGACCGGGAUAACAUUCGGAAACGAAUGCUAAGACCGGAUACGCAGCGAGGUCGCAUGAUCUUGCUGGGAAACACGGUGCAAGCUGUGGCUUAUGGAUGGGCCUGCGGCGCAUUAGCUAGUUGGUGAGGUAACGGCCCACCAAGGCGACGAUGCGUAGCCGACCUGAG
rnacentral:rRNA from 1 species